UAUAACAACCUAACAUACUCACUGAGCACUUUAUUAGGAGCAUUACACUUAAACUGGGUAGGGCUUCCCUUUGCUCUCAAAACAGCCAAAAUUCUUCGUGGCAUGGAUUCCACAAGCUGUUGGAAACAUUAGUUUGAGAUUCUGGUCCAUAUUGACAUGAGUGCAUCAUGCAGUUCCUGCAGAUUUUUCAGGUGCACAUUCAUGCUUCGAAACUCCUGUUCUACCACACCCCGAAGGUGUUCUACUGAAUUCAGAUCUGGUGACUGGGAAGAACAUUGAGCUCAUUGUCAUGUUCAUGAAACCAGUUUGAGAUGACUUUUGCUUUGUGACAUGGUGCAUUAUCACGCUGGAAGUAGCCAUUAGAAGAUGGGCAAUUGUGGCCAUGAAGGGAUGCACAUGGUCAGCAACAAUACUCAAAUAGGCUGUGGCAUUCAAGUGAUGAUUGAUUGGUAUUAACAGGCCAAAACUGUGCUGAGAAGGCAUUCCCCACCCCAUCUCACCACCUCCACCAGCCCGGAAUAUUGACACUGUGGAGGAAUUUCCUGUUAUCUAUAUCAAUAUCAUUUGUUAAUCAGUAUUAUAUCAAUCAGUAUCUAUGCAACAGUAUUGAAAAGUGACCUUAAAUCACCUCAUGUAUUAACUUUUAGAGCUUCAUUUAUAUACUACACUGUACCAUUUCUAGUACAUUUAGAAGAGUGACUCUAGGCCUGUGAUCCUGCAGGGAUGUUUCUGUGAGAACGGACUGGUGUGACCUUGAAGAUGGAGUUUUUUUAAGAAGUAUCUGCCACAACAUAUUUACUGGCGUAGUCGGCAGGAUUGGACAGGAGCCAGGAGCUCCGCCACGGCUGGGCCUACUGAAGCAGAUUGCACAAAACCCUGGGGAAUGAAGAUGUAGCUCCAACUGAGCAAGAGAAGCUGUUCAUACAGAAGCUGCGACAGUGUUGUGUCCUUUUUGACUUUGUCUCUGAUCCCCUAAGUGACCUGAAAUGGAAGGAGGUGAAGCGGGCAGUGCUGAGCAAAAUGGUGGAGUACGUUACCCACAACCGCAAUGUUACCACAGAGCCCAUCU